rnacentral:snRNA from 1 species
AUACGUACCUUGCUGGAGGGACCUGCGAUCAAGAAGGCGGGUCCCUUAGACGCCACCCCCUUCCAUUGCACCUCGGGUUGUGCGUGGUGGUGGCUACUGCUGCCCUACUGGGCCAGCAGACAGCAUAAUUUGUGGUCGUGUGGGCGGUGCGCUCGUCGCCUGCCCACG